GGGGGCGACCUUGGUUUCGACGGGGGUUGCAAAGCAAAUGUGGGCAUACCGCGUUUUCAGUUACGCGUAAAACACUGUACGAAAAUAGUCGCAAACGACGAAACUUACGCUUUGGCAGCUUAAUGCCAGCCGUUGCAGCAGUUGGUCAAUGGGCUGUGUGGGGCAACCCACUGCAACGUCAUUUACAUUGACUGGUUUUCUGUCGGGUUACUUGGCAGGAAAUGAGAUUGUAGGUAACUGGUUUCCAAACAGCCUGUCUGUCGGCGGAAUGGGAAUGAGACAAUAAGUAGAUAAGACUAAGUAUGUAGAACACUUUGUAGAGGACUUUCGGACGGGGGUUCAAUUCCCCCCGCCUCCACCA
rnacentral:tmRNA from 1 species